rnacentral:rRNA from 1 species
AUGAACGCUAGCGGGAGGCUUAACACAUGCAAGUCGAGGGGUAACAGGGGUAGCAAUACCUGCUGACGACCGGCGUACGGGUGAGUUAACGCGUAUGCAACCUGCCCUAUACAGGAGGAUAGCCCGGAGAAAUUCGGAUUAAUACUCCAUGUAGCAUUUUUUCGCAUGAAUUAGAUGUUAAAGAUUUAUCGGUAUAGGAUGGGCAUGCGUCCCAUUAGCUAGUUGGUGAGGUAACGGCUCACCAAGGCAUCGAUGGGUAUGGGGUCUUAAAGGAUGGUCCCACACACUGGCACUGAGACACGGGCCAGACUCCUACGGGAGGCAGCAGUGAGGAAUAUUGGUCAAUGGGUGAGAGCCUGAACCAGCCAUCCCGCGUGCAGGAUGACGGUCCUAGUGAUUGUAAACUGCUUUUCUAUGAGAUGAAUAAGAAUUACGUGUAGUUCGAUGACCGUAUUAUAGGAAUAAGCAUCGGCUAACUCCGUG